AUUGAACGCUGGCGGCAGGCCUAACACAUGCAAGUCGAGCGGAUGACGGGAGCUUGCUCCUUGAUUCAGUGGCGGACGGGUGAGUAAUGCCUAGGAAUCUGCCUGGUAGUGGGGGACAACGUUUCGAAGGGAACGCUAAUACCGCAUAUGUCCUACGGGAGAAAGCAGGGGACCUUCGGGCCUUGCGCUAUCAGAUGAGCCUAGGUCGGAUUAGCUAGUUGGUGAGGUAAUGGCUCACCAAGGCGACGGUCCGUAACUGGUCUGAGAGGAUGAUCAGUCACACUGGAACUGAGACACGGUCCAGACUCCUACGGGAGGCAGCAGUGGGGAAUAUUGGACAAUGGGCGAAAGCCUGAUCCAGCCAUGCCGCGUGUGUGAAGAAGGUCUUCGGAUUGUAAAGCACUUUAAGUUGGGAGGAAGGGCAGUAAGUUAAUACCUUGCUGUUUUGACGUUACCAACAGAAUAAGCACCGGCUAACUCUGUGCCAGCCGCCGCCGUAAGAC
rnacentral:rRNA from 1 species